rnacentral:rRNA from 1 species
GCGUGGCAUAUGCAUGNAUGUCGACCGGGAAGCCUUAGNAUCAAUCUACGGAAGAGUGAUACGGUGGAGAGUGGCGAAAGGGUGAGGAACACGUGGGUAAUCUACCUCGGAGGUGGGGAUAACUUCGCGAAAGCGAGGCUAAUACCGGAUGUGGUACUCCGGCGCAUGUCGGGGAUAUUACAGAUGGGGAUACUUCGGAACCUGUCGCUUGGAGAGGAGCCCGCGUCCCAUCAGCUUGUUGGUGAGGUAAAAGCUCACCAAGGCGUAACGGGUAGCUGGUCUGAGAGGAUGGUCAGCCGGGGUGGGACUGAGACACUGCCCAGACUCCUACGGGAGGCUGCAGUCGAGAAUCAUUCGCAAUGCGCGAAAGCGUGACGAUGCGACGCUGCGUGGAGGAUAGACGGCCUUAGGGUUGUAAACUCCUGUCAUUCAGGAACAAUGAUCCGGGUGUUAAUAGCGCCGGGAAGUGAUGGUACUGAAAGAGGAAGCCACGGCUAAACUCUGUGCCAGCAGCCGCGGUAAUACAGAGGUGGCGAGCGUUGUUCGGAUAUACUGGGCGUAAAGGGUGCGUAGGUGGUUAUGUGCGUCGGGUGUGAAAGCCCACGGCUCAACCGUGGAAUUGCACUCGAAACUGCGUAACUUGAGUGCAGGAGAGGAGAGCGGAAUUCUUGGUGUAGCGGUGAAAUGCGUUGAUAUCAAGAAGAACACCGGCGGCGAAGGCGGCUCUCUGGAAUGCAACUGACACUGAGGCACGAAAGCUGGGG